AAUAAAAUAAACACGUAACAAUUCAUUCUGUGCUAUUUUUCAAUGUGAGUCAGUGAGUGACCGGUGACUGGCUGCUGCAGCCAAUGAUGCGAUUCACAUACGUAUUUACCAUAGACUGUACAUAAUGGUAUUUACGCAGCUAAUCAACGUCAGACGUCCUUAUGUGCAGCCACCGUUGUUCUCAUAGAUAUGAAUGAGUAGAUAGGACACGCCCCUUUGAGCUGCGUGCUACAGCGAGGCUAAGCUAGUGGGGGCAAAGUUUCAGUGCAUUCCGUUGAUGUAGACGGCGUGAAAACGGAAACAAGAAGUAUACCGGCUCACUGUGCUGCAUACAAUUACACACUGCGUCGUACGAUUGAGACAAGGAAACUUCGAAUGACUUUUCAUAGGUUUCCCAGAGACUAUGGGUUGAGGAGGAAGUGGAAGUUUGUCGGCUUAGACCUGGUGUCAUUCCAUCAGCGUUAAACUUCCAGGCUCAUCUUGGAAGAGUACAUGCCAGAAAGACCACGACCAAGCAGCCUUGAGAUCUUAGGCAGCGUCUCCCUGAGGUCCCUCUCUAUCUCCCCACACAUCCACCAACCACUGGAACACAUCUCCAAAGUUCUGCCGGGCCAGCUCAGCUUCCCCUCAGAAGAAGUUCCACCAGAUGAAGGAGCCUUUUGAGAGGCAGCUGGCAUCGUGAUUGGACUGUACUUUGGUCUGUUCCAAUCCAGCUUCAGCUCCAGAGACGGCAGGCGGGACGAGUCAACGGAGGCCGGGUGGACGAAGGCAUGCAGCUGAGUACAAUCCAGAAAACAACAGAGGACGAGUGCAGUGGCCCAGGGCCAGAACAAACAGUAGCAUCAUAUGUCUCUUAGGAAACAUCAUAGUAUAGCCUUUGGUAUGAAAAAAACGCCAUCAUAUACAUCGUAUAUUGUACAGAUAACAAGUCAAAGGAAAGAGACAUACAUUGUAGAAUUGUAGUAAUUGUGGGCUGACUGAUUUACUGAUUA